CCUCCCGCAAAAGCACUCCUCACUGCUGCAACUGCUUUUAAGACCCCUCCACCCCACCCCAUCCCACGCCCCUUUCCUCAUGCACGAACAGAGAAAAAUGUCCAGAGUGCGUGGACAGGGAGAGAGGAAGGAAAAAGAAGUUGUGAGUGUGUGGCCAAGAGAGAAAUAAAGACCAGGAGGGAGGCAGGUUGGCAGGGCUAGAGGACAUAAUGUUGCUGUUGGCACAAGUCUGUGUAUUGUUCUUGGGGCUUAUUUUAGUGUAGCUUUUUAACUCUGAAGUAACUAAACAGAGAUAAGGACCAGGAUAUUAGGGUAUAGGAUUUGAUACUUCACCCACUGCACAGGGAGGUCAUCUCAACAGUCUAAAAAGCGUGUGUGUGUUCUCCACACAUUAAUUUCAUUUUUGAUUGCAUAAUGAAAAGGCUGUCGUAACAGCACUCCUUCAGCAGUCAAAGGGUUAGCCAUCAGCGGUGCUGCAACUGCUGCAAUGCUGUCGGUGAACUUGGAGUUCUUUGCUCAAGUUACAGCCUUCUUCCACCACGAUCCACAGGAUGGCUACUGUAUGUAGAAGACACAAAGAAGCACUGAAGAAAGAAAUCUCUUAUGGCAACAGUGAGAGAACAACACUGCAGGUGUGGGAAUGUCAACAGCAAAUCAUCUGAUCAAAAGUGUUACACAAACUGGUUGGGUGAGUCCCAUUAAAACAAAUACUUCAUCAUCACAGUCCAGCAUUAGUUCUACUGGGCACAUAAAAUGCUCAUAAAAAACUUAAGAAAUAUAGGUUUUUAGCUUCAUUUUUUUUUCUGUAUGAUGUGAAAAUAUAUCUAUACAUACCCAGAAAAUGUCAAACUAUACAGAGUAUGCACCUCUAGGUGGAAAUCAUUUCUUGUUUAAUUAUGCCAACUUGCAGAACUACCAUCGAAACCACACUUUUGCUUUGGCUGGGGUGUGCUAAAACUCUACAACAUAUUUUACAGCUUAACCUAUGUGCGUACAUAUACUGAUAAAAUGAAAUUUUAUUCCAACAUGGUCUACUAAAAUAAUUCUGCAGUUUGGAAUCAAGCUUUUCUCAUUUCAUGGAUGAUUUCCAGUGUAGUUGGUUAACAGACAUGCAAGAUUAAGGUUUAAAUAUCUGACAAAACUAAAUGUUUUGUGACCCAGUGACAUUUUAAGAGAAAAAGUGUAUGUUCUUAAAGUUUUAUUUUCCUUUCCAAGCUCUCUCUCUCUAAGCAAGAUUAAACCAAGAACCUAAAGUUAAACGCAGACAAAACUCUCUUCUUUGAGAAAACCACAGGGUGUAGCCCAGUCGUUUUCUUAGAUGCUCUCCAUUCGACAAGCGUCACUGCUUUCCACUGACAAGUCUUUGUCUGCCCUCUGCAGGAAUGAGAGAACACUGCAGCAUCGGCUGAACUACAAUCUGCAGCUUAGCAGUUCACAGUGACAAACUGCUCUACAUAAAUGAAGUAAAGUAUAAAUGAAACACAAAAUGUCCAUCUUCUAUGGUGACGUAAAUGUAGCAGUAACAUGAUACAAAUCUGAAAGGCUUGGUUUCACUGACUUCUUCUGGUUAAAAAUGUCAGCUCCACACUAGGUGUGGUCAAAGUGAGCAGCAUUGUAAACAAGCAUACCAGGUGUGUUGACUUAACAGCCACUAAACUGUGUGGCAAUAUUUUUAUUUGUUUUUUUUUAAACUUAUUUUGAUUGGAGGUCAAGACUUAGAACUGCUGUUGUAUUUCUCUGCAUAUCUGUUUAGGAGCGCACCAAAAGAAAUGUUCACUCUGGGUAAAGAGAAUGGAAAUUUAAAUGUACCUGCAGAUGUUCUACCAUUCACAACACAAACACACAAGAUUUAACUCAGACCACAGACAUCAAAUCCCAUAGAUGGCAUUGUGGAAAAUGCUUUAUUUUUUUCGCAGGUCAAACAAAAACCAGUUUGGGGCCGCAGACAAAUUUCCCUCGUCUUGAAACACUGUCAUUUUCAAGUCAUUUUUGCAGUACAGUAAGCACAUGGUGGCUUAAAGUCCUCAGGCUUUAAGUACUGGAAAGCAGAAGCGCAAAGUGCUUUCUUUCAUUGUCACAAUGUCCUCUCACUUGAAGAUCU